rnacentral:lncRNA from 1 species
UAUAGAAUGAAACAAGUAAGAGCCCACGCAAUGCCGCAGAGAGAUAAUAUUUCAGUUAUUUUUCAGAAUAAUUUUUUUUAGACACGUAUAAUUUUUUUAAUAUAUUAAAAUAUAUAGCGAUAUACGAAAUAGAAAAUACACUCUCACAAAUUAGAUACAAUAUGUCACACUAACUUUAUAUGAAGCACACUUAUUUCAAAAAUUUUAUAAUAUUAAAUAAAAUUAAAAUUAUAGAAAAAUUUCUAAAUUAAAAUAGCAAGAGAACACAAAAUAGCGCACUACCAAAAAUAAAAUGUCCGCAACAACUGCCUAUUUAUAAAAAAAUAAGUCAACCAAAUAUAAAACUAUUUUUUUACACUGUAUUUAUAAAAUUUUAUUAUAAAAGUAGAAAUUCAGUAAUUUUUGUAUCUAGACUUUUUAUACAUUACUAGUUAUAGUGUACAUGCGAUGCACGUCAUAUUUAAUUAAAUUAAAUAUAAAUUUAUAUUUUAAUUUUAAAUAAUUAUUGGUGGUAUGAGUCUAUAUAUCAAUUGAUUUUUUUUUGUAACUUCAAU